rnacentral:rRNA from 1 species
AUGCUUUACACAUGCAAGUCGAACGGCAGCACGGGCUUCGGCCUGGUGGCGAGUGGCGAACGGGUGAGUAAUAUAUCGGAACGUACCCAAGAGUGGGGGAUAACGUAGCGAAAGUUACGCUAAUACCGCAUACGAUCUAAGGAUGAAAGUGGGGGAUCGCAAGACCUCAUGCUCCUGGAGCGGCCGAUAUCUGAUUAGCUAGUUGGUGAGGUAAAGGCUCACCAAGGCCACGAUCAGUAGCUGGUCUGAGAGGACGACCAGCCACACUGGAAGUGAGACACGGUCCAGACUCCUACGGGAGGCAGCAGUGGGGAAUUUUGGACAAUGGGGGCAAGCCUGAUCCAGCAAUGCCGCGUGAGUGAAGAAGGCCUUCGGGUUGUAAAGCUCUUUUGUCA